AGGUCGCAUGCGUUCAGGUGACGGCUGUGUGUGACUUCCUGUGUGAUGCGUUCAGGUGGCGGCUGUGUGUGACUUCCUGUGUGAUGCGUUCAGGUGACGGCUGUGUGUGACUUCCUGUGUGAUGCGUUCAGGUGACGGCUGUGUGUGACUUCCUGUGUGAUGCGUUCAGGUGACGGCUGUGUGUGACUUCCUGUGUGAUGCGUUCAGGUGACGGCUGUGUGUGACU